AUGCCUGAGGAAAGCUGCCGGUACUUGACUAUCACGGAAGCAGGAAGCAGGAAGCAGGAAGCAAGGACAGGAGGGCAACUUCUGGCCGAGCAGCUUCCCAGGAGUUUUCCCGGAAGCCACCAGGCAGCGGGCGGCACUUGGCGUCCUGGCCACGCUCUGUGCAGGGGACCCUGGGGAUGUCGUCCGGUCAAGUUCACUGUCGCUCAGGAUAACACUGGGGUUCUGCUCCCAAGGAAGGGAAGGGUGACGCUGCACACCAGUGAGUCUUGUCUCCCGUCCUCUGCCGGUGCUUCUGCUGCUGCUGUACCACUCGGUGUAACUGUGCCGCUACCUUGCUGAUGCUUCUGGGAAAUGGGCCGGACCUGGGAUCUAAAUGAGCCUCAGAUGAGACCCUCCCUCCUCCGGAAGGCAGCUCCCGGCUGUGCUUGUCCACGUGCCCAGCCUGUGUGUGCGCUGGCCCUGCUCACCACAUCCAGGCCAAACGCAGGAGGAUCCGCUGCCGCUGGGGGAGCAGCUCGCAGCCUCUGGGCCCCGACCCCUUGGCUUGAGAUGUUUUCUAUCGUUUCUAUAUUUCACAGCUUUGUGGUAAAUAAUCAAUUCAAGCCAGCGCUGAGUCUCUCUUUCUGUAAUUCUGAAAACCCAUUAAAUGAUAUUGUUGGUAGAAAACAAUAGCUGUG
rnacentral:lncRNA from 1 species